UACGUAGGGUGCGAGCGUUGUCCGGAAUUACUGGGCGUAAAGAGCUCGUAGGUGGUUUGUCGCGUUGUCCGUGAAAACUCACAACUCAAUUGUGGGCGUGCGGGCGAUACGGGCAGACUGGAGUACUGCAGGGGAGACUGGAAUUCCCGGUGUAGCGGUGAAAUGCGUAGAGAUCAGGAGGAACACCGGUGGCGAAGGCGGUUCUCUGGGCCUGUACUGACGCUGAGGAACGAAAGCGUGGGGAGCGAACAGG
rnacentral:rRNA from 1 species